rnacentral:rRNA from 1 species
UACGGAGGGGGCUAGCGUUGUUCGGAAUUACUGGGCGUAAAGCGUACGUAGGCGGCUUAGCAAGUCGGAUGUGAAAUCCCUCGGCUCAACCAAGGAAGUGCAUCCGAAACUGCUGAGCUUGAGUACGAAAGAGGAUCGCGGAAUUCCCGGUGUAGAGGUGAAAUUCGUAGAUAUCGGGAGGAGCACCAGUGGCGAAGGCGGCGAUCUGGGUCGAUACUGACGCUGAGGUGCGAAAGCGUGGGGAGCAAACAGG